GUGCCACAGCAACAGAGCUCCAGUUGUGUCUUGUAAGAAUUGGUCAUUGUUUCAUGGGGACGACUGGCUUCUUUGGGUGGGAUCUGAUGGCAUCUCAUGGAGUUGAGGUUGUCUGCCAAUGCUAACUGGCCAGCUCUGAGAGGAGGUGCUUGGCCCAGGAGGAGUCAUCAGGGCAGUUCUCUGGGCUACUGCUGUGUCUCCAGCUCUGCAGUUUGCUCUGCAUCACUCAGCGGCAGACGGAGAGGCAGCUGCAAGCCCCUUGUGAGAUUUCUUCCUUGCCGUCAUCUCACGAUGCUCUGUAAUAAGGAGGCAAACGGCUGAGGUCCCCUCAGUUAGUCUCGCUCUGUCCCAGGCUGGAGUGCCACGAUGGGGUCUUGGCUCACUGCAACCUUUGCCUCCCAAGUUCAAGCUAUUCCCCUGCCUCAGCCUCCUGAGUAGCUGGGGUUACAGGCA